UUGGGUAACCGAAAGUAUGGUUAGUGGCGAAAGGGUGAGGAAUAGAUAGGAACGUACCCUGUGCUCUGGGAUAGCGUCUGAAGCUUCGGCUUCUUCCGAAAGGGGCGGUAAUACCAGAUAAUGUACUUCGGGACCAAAGAUUUAUCGGCAUUGGAGCGGNCUAUCUCCUAUCAGCUUGUUGGUGAGGUAACGGCUCACCAAGGCAACGACGGGUAGCGGGACUGAGAGGUUGGCCCGCCACAUCGGGACUGAGACACUGCCCGGACCUCCACGGAGGGCUGCAGUAACGGAUAUUGGGCAAUGGGCGAAAGCCUGACCCAGCAAUGCCGCGUGCAGGAUGAAGCCCCUAGGGGUGUAAACUGCUGUCAGGGGUCAGAAAGCUGGUUUCGGCCAGUUGAUCAACCCCAGAGGAAGUCACGGCUAACUUCGUGCCAGCAGCCGCGGUAAUACGAAGGUGGCCAGCGUUAUUCGGAAUCAUUGGGCUUAAAGGGCACGCAGGCGGAACAGUGUGUGUUGUGUGAAAUCCCCCGGCUUAACCGGGGAAUUGCACAGCAAACUGCUGUUCUUGAGGCAGGUAGGGGUGCAUGGAACUCUUGGUGGAGCGGUGGAAUGCGUAGAUAUCAAGAGGAACGCCAGAGGUGAAGACGGUGCACUGGGCCUGUCCUGACGCUGAGGUGCGAAAGCGUGGGAGCGAACGGGAUUAGAUACCCCGGUAGUCCACGCCGUAAACGAUGUCUACUAGGUCGUGGGUGUUCUGACACAUUCACGGCCGGAGCAAAAGUGUUUAGUAGACCGCCUGGGGAGUACGGCCGCAAGGUUAAAACUCAAAUGAAUUGACGGGGGCUCACACAAGCGGUGGAGCAUGUGGAUUAAUUCGAAGCAACGCGCAGAACCUUACCUGGGUUUGACAUGCUUGUAUGCCUUCUCUGAAAGGAGUUAGGCUGCCUUCGGGUGAAACUUGCACAGGUGCUGCAUGGCUGUCGUCAGCUCGUGUCGUGAGAUGUCGGGUUAAGUCCUUUAACGAGCGAAACCCUUGCCGUUAGUUGCCAGCGAGUAAUGUCGGGGACUCUAACGGGACUGCCGGUGUUAAACCGGAGGAAGGUGGGGAUGACGUCAAGUCCUCAUGGCCUUUAUGCCCAGGGCUUCACACGUGCUACAAUGGCAAUUACAGAGCGACGCGAUACCGCGAGGUGGAGCAAAUCGCAAAAAAAUUGCCUCAGUUCGGAUUGCAGGCUGGCAAUUCGCCUGCAUGAAGUCGGAAUCGCUAGUAAUCGCGUAUCAGCAAUGACGCGGUGAAUGUGUUCCUGAGCCUUGUACACACCGCCCGUCAAGUGAUGGAAG
rnacentral:rRNA from 1 species